rnacentral:lncRNA from 1 species
GGCAAUGGGCUUAAGAAAGUAUCCAAUAAGCCCAAUUAGAGUAAAAAGGAUGAUAAGCCCAAAUCAAGUAAAACCUAAAAUACCCAAUAGGCGAUUAGAAGCUAGGGCGUGACCUGCAACUCUAAGGCAACGCCAAAAAAGGGUGGAUUCUGUGUUACUGUAAAUAUCUUCUCCUUCCUUGUAUCAACCGCUAACUUAAGAGGGAAGAUAUAAACUUCUCAUAACUGCCAUAGCUUGGAGACCAAGGUCCUCAUCCCUACUUUCACGCUAUGUUACCCAAGAAGGCGCUGCGGACCGAAUUUCUAGGAACCCUAACUUGGAGAAGAAGACUAGAGGCUCUAUAAAUA